UACGUAGGGUGCGAGCGUUGUCCGGAAUUAUUGGGCGUAAAGAGCUUGUAGGCGGUUUGUCGCGUCUGCUGUGAAAAUCCGGGGCUCAACCCCGGACUUGCAGUGGGUACGGGCAGACUGGAGUGUGGUAGGGGAGACUGGAAUUCCUGGUGUAGCGGUGGAAUGCGCAGAUAUCAGGAGGAACACCGAUGGCGAAGGCAGGUCUCUGGGCCGUAACUGACGCUGAGGAGCGAAAGCAUGGGGAGCGAACAGG
rnacentral:rRNA from 1 species